rnacentral:miRNA from 1 species
AGGAUACCCAGUUAAUUUGAAUUUCAGGUAAACAAUGAAUAAUUUUUAGCAUAAGGAUAUCCCAGGUGAUAUUUGGGACAUACUUAUGCAGAAACAGUCAUUUGUUGUUUAUCUGAAAUUUGAGUGUAGCUGGGGAUGCUGUA